CUGGGAUAACUCCGGGAAACCGGAGCUAAUACCGGAUAGUUCCUUGAACCGCAUGGUUCAAGGAUGAAAGACGGUUUCGGCUGUCACUUACAGAUGGACCCGCGGCGCAUUAGCUAGUUGGUGGGGUAAUGGCUCACCAAGGCGACGAUGCGUAGCCGACCUGAGAGGGUGAUCGGCCACACUGGGACUGAGACACGGCCCAGACUCCUACGGGAGGCAGCAGUAGGGAAUCUUCCGCAAUGGACGAAAGUCUGACGGAGCAACGCCGCGUGAGUGAUGAAGGUUUUCGGAUCGUAAAGCUCUGUUGUUAGGGAAGAACAAGUGCGAGAGUAACUGCUCGCACCUUGACGGUACCUAACCAGAAAGCCACGGCUAACUACGUGCCAGCAGCCGCGGUAAUACGUAGGUGGCAAGCGUUGUCCGGAAUUAUUGGGCGUAAAGGGCUCGCAGGCGGUUUCUUAAGUCUGAUGUGAAAGCCCCCGGCUCAACCGGGGAGGGUC
rnacentral:rRNA from 1 species